AAGUCGGGUGUGAAAUCCCUCGGCCCAACCGAGGAACUGCGCCCGAAACUGCAUGUCUUGAGGACAGGAGGGGAGCGCGGAAUUCCUGGUGGAGCGGUGAAAUGCGUUGAUAUCAGGAGGAACACCGGCGGCGAAGGCGGCGCUCUGCCCUGUUUCUGACGCUGAGGUGCGAAAGCCAGGGGAGCAAACGGGAUUAGAUACCCCGGUAGUCCUGGCCGUAAACGAU
rnacentral:rRNA from 1 species